rnacentral:rRNA from 1 species
AACAAACGCUGGCGGCGUGCCUAAUACAUGCAAGUCGAACGGGGAAAGCUUACGGGUGAGUACUAGUGGCGCACGGGUGAGUAACGCGUGGAUAAUCUGCCUUAGAGUGGGGGAUAACUAGUCGAAAGAUUAGCUAAUACCGCAUAAGACCACAAGAACUGCGGUUCAAGGGGUCAAAGGUUUUUCGCUCUAAGAUGAGUCCGCGUAAGAUUAGCUAGUUGGUGAGGUAAUGGCUCACCAAGGCGACGAUCUUUAACUGGUCUGAGAGGAUGAUCAGUCACACUGGAACUGAGACACGGUCCAGACUCCUACGGGAGGCAGCAGUAGGGAAUAUUGCACAAUGGAGGAAACUCUGAUGCAGCGACGCCGCGUGAGUGAUGAAGGCCUUCGGGUCGUAAAGCUCUGUCGCAAGGGAAUAACACAAUGAAUGUACCUUGCAAGAAAGGAUCGGCUAACUUCGUGCCAGCCGCCGCGGUAAAAC